CCUGGAGUAGGAGGAAAGACAGAGUUAAUCUGGACAUUGAAGACUUUGAUGUGAGAAGGUCCUGAUUAGAGGAGGCAGCACAGGUCAUGGGUGCCAACAGAUGGGGUUUGGGUCCUGGCUCUAUCACCUGCCAGUUCUAUGAAGCUUCAUCAUCUGUAAAAUGGGAAGGCCAAUUAAAUAGGGCUGUUGUGAGAACAAAGGCAGUGCAGGUAUUGAGCAAAUACUAGCUGGUCCUGAAGAUGAUCUGUGUGAUAUCCUAAUGUCAUACUUCUAAUGGGGACAAAAAGGCAGCUCCUUCUUGACUCUCUCCUAAAAAGGGAGAGGCCAAGUGGGUCCAGAUCCCCUUGCUAGGUCAGCUGGACUGCUAGGUCAGCACACAAUUCAAUUUCCUUCCAGAGUCAGGAAUAUAGGGCUCCCACAAGGGUAGAGGUAAGUCAGGGUUUUUCAUAGUUUAAUAAAGAAAUAUACUUUGAGGCCUACUUCUGUAUUUGGAUCCACCCUUUAGGCAUCGGUUGCCCCUAAAACAUUGCCAGGUACUCCAAAGCUAAAAUGCUGUGUCCCCUCUAAUUGGCACAUGGCCUUAUAGGACAUUUGGGCACACUUUCUGAAUCUUCCAUUGGUCACUGGUUAAGUUUGACAUGUAGUAAGGGAAACACAAGAGGAAAGUAGAUAAUGUAGGUCAUAUGAUACAAAACCGCACAUGUGGACUGAGGUAAUGAAAGGCCCUCUAGGACCCUGGGUGGUAAAAAAGGCUCAGGUCUAGGAAUUAAGGUCAGGAUUCCAGCCUCGAUUCUGUGGCCAAUUUAUCUGUGUGACCUUGGGCAAGUGCCAUUCCCUGUCCGAGUCUCAAUUUCUUCCUCUGUGAAACAACAGGGCUAUUGUGAGGACUGAAGAAGCCUGAGUAGAUUACCAAACAGAGUUCGGGGCAUAUAGAAGGUACUGAAUUAAUGAAUGUAAUUAUUUCCAUUAAAUGGCAGCAAAGGAUCGCAUUCUCAGAGAACGUAGAGACGUGUGUGUCUCCCCCUUUCCUCCAAACAAAUGCUCAAACCUUGAAAAUAAGGAUUUAUAAUGAUGAUGCUGGGACAACUUUAGCUGUGAAUGGCCUGCUUAUAAUAAGGUUGCCUUCCCAGGGGUAAUCAAAUACAAUUGCAGAGCAAAAACAGUGUGGCAGACAAUUCCCGUGAAAAAUCGGAGGCACCGGAGACUGGAGCUGUGUUCUUUGCCGGGAGGGCAAAGGAAGAUUCAGGGUCUGCACCACCAACAAUGAUGGGGGCCAUUUUAAGGCAUCUUUUGCAGGGUCCCCUGUGACUCCUCCCAAGGAGCUGCCACCCAGCCAGCUGCCCCCCCCCCGCCACCCCUGGAGGGCCCCUAGGGAAGGCGAGCUACACCUCUGUGGCAAAAUUAAUAAAAUUGAAUUAAGCAGCUCACUGGGGAACCGCCUAAUGCUUCCUGUGCUUGGCAGUGGCAGCAAUGAGAUUAUUUUACAUCUUUCUUUAUUAAAAAAGUUCCCAGUUGUAUAAAAAAUGAGCUCCAUUAUGGGGAGGCGCACCCGGAUAACAUUCUAAUUCCACAUGCCGUCACUGUGGGUGGCCAUUUAUUUUGGGAGGACGCGGAGAUGCGGCCACCGGCCUGGAGCACCAUUAAUCUCAGGCUGGGAGAGGGACCAAUUAAAGCCUGGGAAACUUUUGGUCCAGUUCACACCGCAGAGAGGAAAUCCUAAUAGCACUAAUCGCUGCCAUUUAUUGAGCACCUGGGUUCUACCAGCAUUGGUCUAGGUACUUGGAAUAUAUUAUCUUGUUUCCACAGAGGAGUCUGAGACUAGAGGAGUUGCUCAGGGCUACACGCCAGGCCCAGGCAGGAAUCAAACCAAGGUCAAAUUUUCCAUUUAGCACACUGCCUUAGAUGUGCAUGAGGGGGCUCCUGGAGAAUUCAGACGGGGGGCUCGGGAAGGCUGCAGAUGGUGGCGGGCCACAGAGAACAAAGACACUUACGGCCUUCCUCAGGGAACCAGUGGAAGGCUCUUUCCCACUUCGGUUUUUGCUAGAGUUCUAGGCUGUUGAGGAGACACAGGAAGGCUGGUUUUGUGGAUUCUAGUUGUGUGAUAUUGGCUGUGUUGAGACAGCGCCAGCCGUGUGGCAUGAGGAUGCUUCUGUGGUUUUUAGGAGUCAGCAACAAUCUCGCUCAGUUCUGUGGUUCCCCUCAGCCCAGCCAGUGCCUACAGAGCAGCUGGGGUCUGCAAGGAGCUGUGCCCAGAACCGGGCUGGUUUCUUCACUUUCACGCUCCCUGUCACCUUCCUUUCUGAAGCUAGAGGGAAACGAAGUGGGGCACUCGGGCCUGGGGGGCGAGGGCGGUAAUAACACUCUGCAGAAACAUGGGGGGUGAGGCAGUGAAAGGGCUGGCUCAGGGCAUCCACAUUCCGAAGAGCACUCUGAAAUGCCAGACCACAGAUGCCAACCCACUGGCAGCAGGGACAGCUGGGGUUGGGGGUCGUUUUGCUCACUUAGUAAGGGGACAACUGCCUGGAAGGAGUGGAGGAUGUGGCUUAGGUUCCAAAUAGCCAAACUGGAUUCUGCUAGAUAUUAAUAAGAACAUAGUAGUAAGAAUAGCAGGAACAACAGGAGUAGGUUAUUGACCACUUCCUGUGUGCAAGGCUCGGUAUGAGGCAUUCUGUAUAUUAUUUCCAACUCUUCUCGCAACUUGUAAAAUUGAUUCAUCCUUCCCAUUUUUUUUGGAGAAUGAGACUGAGGCUCCGGAUGAAUGAAAUGGCAUCACGGACGGGCUGAAAUUCAGUCCGGGUAUCACAGAAGCUGGAAAUCCAACUCAGGCCUAACACCAAAGCCGGCGAUCUUGCCACAACGGAAGAGAGAUUCGAGAUUUCUUAUUAAUGCCUUCCAGAGCCUGGGAAAUGCCACUGGAUCUCCCUGCUGCCUGAUCAAUACCUGUGAUUAGCUCAUCAGAACACCGCUGUUUCUGGCUCUGCAGGGAAAAACUGGAGCUGCCCAUCCGGGGAACCCUGAACACCUAGGUGCCACGCCCCCUCGGUGGAGCCCUCUCUCUUCCUGCUACAGAGCUGCUGACGGAAAGACAGAACCGCUGGACAAGUUGGGACAGUUUUCCCCCCUCUCUGGAUUCCAAGUGGCUGCUUCAAACCCUGGCCCUGCGAUUGGGUGACUUUGGGACAGUGGCUUAGUUCUGUCUGUUUUGGCUCUAAAGAACUGGCAAAUUUCUUUCUUUCUAACCAAGAGGAAGGAACGUGUUAAUAUGGGAAAGUCCUUGGAGUCAGACGUUCUAGGCUUUGAAUUCAGGCUCUACACUUGCCAGCAAUGAAUGUUAACCCUAGAGGAUGGGCACUCAGUUCUCUUUUCCUGUGAACCAUCAACCUCCUACAAAUGACAUGAUUUCAGGCAGGUUAUAUAACACAACCUCUGGGAGCUUCUGUUUUCUCCUCUAUAAAAUGAAGACAGUAACACCUGUCUCAGGAAGAUACUGUGAAGUUCAAAUAAGAGUUACCUGGUCAGGCUGUGGAGAGAAAUCAUGGAGAGGAUGUGGACUCUCUCACCCAUUGUCUGCAGCCUCUAAGGGCUUCAAGCUCUCUUGCCAGUUUCCACUUAGCCUUCAUGAAUCUGCCAAACCACCCUAGCUGAUCUCUUGUGACCAGUUGUGUUAACCCAGGUAAGCUAGUGCUCACGUCUCGACUUUCUCUUCAGGAGUCUCUCUCCCUGGAUUUGGUUAGGUGGUUGCCCUGUGACCUUAGAGAAGUUUAAGAAAAACUCAUGAAUUUGCCAUUUGCCUGGCUUAUUCCUACUGUUAAGUUUGGGAACGAUGUACUUUCCAGCUCUUAUAUCCUCCAGUGAAACCCUUAAGCCAAGUGUCAUUACUUGAACCACUUGAAUUCUAUGUCCUGCUGGGCACACAGAUAAUGCUGGAGCUGGGAUUUGAUACUCUUAUCGCUACAGCUAUUUUUCCUCCCUUCUUUAUUUCCCUUCCCUGUAUUUACAUUUCAUUCAUAAAAUAUUUACUGAGCACCUACUAGGUGGCAAGCCCUAAGCCUGAUACAGAGACAAAUUAGUAUUUAGUGUGAGCAUAACUAUGACAGAAGCUGUCACAGGGCACCAGGGGAUACCAGAGCCACUUACCCCUGUUAAACUUAGGAAAGCUGGCUGCUCAUACCCACCCAGCAAGCGAAUUUUGGAACCUGCCUCGUGCUCAUGAGGCCGUUCUCUUAGCCACUGAAUGCCAUCUGGCCAGGAGCCCAAGUCUGAAAUUAAUGAUACCACACAUUGGAGAUGAGGACUGCAUUAUAGAGUUCUUUGAGGUUUUCUGCCAGCAGACCUGUAGGCUGACGAGAGGAAAGUAACCUUCAUUCCCCAGAACUGUGAACUCCUAAGUCGACUUGCUCUGAAGUGUGUUGUGUUUAUGAUAGAUGCAUUAUUUAAUCUGUUGAAAGGAUCAAUAAAGCCAACUUAAAACUUGUUUCAGUAAUAGCCUGUGCUACAGGCAAGCCUGGGCUGAUUUUUAAAAAAAAUAUUAGAGCAUUUGGGUUGGAAUCCACUAAACUGCCUCAUGGAGCUAAAAGUAGAAAAUUCACUAGAGCAAUGGUGCAUUGGCAAAAUCUGUCAAAAUGUGUGUUAAGAAACACCACAAUAAUGAUAAUACUGCAUCUGUACUUCUUGAGAGCUUCACGGUUUACAAGCAUUUUUUACCUUUAGUGUUUGUUUAGUUUUUUUGAUCCCCAUAAUGACCCUGAAAUGGGGUAAGGGAGGCAUGAUUUCUGUCUGGUUGAAACCUAGGUCUGGAAACCAGUCAGCCAGCCCCUGAGUCACAGGGCUAAUAUUCAGUGAAAACAGGUAUCUGGGACCUUUGCUUUGCUCACAGUCUGAGCUGAACCAUUUUUUCAUGACCCACUCUGCAUGCCUUUUUUCAGCCCAUUUUGGAUAUUCUUAUGGACUUGACCCCUUCCUAGUUCUGCCCUGAUCUCUCAGACUCCACCCUUGAUUCUGCUCCCCUGCUAUGAACUUUAAUUCCCACCUACUUUCGUCACAACUUUUGUUUGCUCUCUUGACUAGUUUACUUGCAGCUGUUCCCGGGUAAUACCUUUCAUGCCUGAAUAAUAUUUAUGCAAUUAUUGGUACAUCCACUCGUAUUGCUUGAAGUGACGUCGUCGAUGAUGAUGAUGAUGAUGGUGGUGGUGGUGGUGACAGCAGCAGCAGUUCUCAGUUGAUUCCUUACGGAUUGCUAGAUGAAUGAAUGACUACAUGACUGGUCAACGGCACGGAGAGAGCGAGGGAUUUGGGGUCAGCACACCUCACCUCUUAUCUCAGUUCUACAAUUACUACAGGUGUGCGUUACUUAAACACUUUGAACUUCUUUCCUCAUAUGUAAAUGGAGGUAAUAAAUAUUACAUAGAGUAAUUGUGAGUAUCAAGACAAUGUACAAGGAAUUGCUUUGUAAAUUAUAAAGGGAAUGAAUAUUUACAGCCUAUUACUAGCUGCCAGGCACUGUGCUAGGCAAUUUAUGUACAGGGUUUCAUUAAAAAAUUCAUUUCCACAUCCCUGAUGGAAACAAGCACAGGGCUCUGCAUUUAUAACUGCAAUUCCCCGCCCCCUGCCCCCCCCACCACUGCCCCGAGCCUCAGUUCUCUUAUCUGUAAAAUGGGGUAGAUAAUAUCACCUCUUGGGAAUAUUGUGACAGCUAGGUAAGAAAAAGGAAGUCCUACGCAUCUCUGUAUUCUCCUUUCUAACAGUGCCUGACACAUAAGAAGUUCUUCAGAAGUCAUUUUGGACCCUGCAUAUGAUCACACCCUGUAGCCUGCUGAGCUAGGAACUAAUCCCCUCUUUUGAUUGGCGGCAACAUCUUCUGUUUCUUCUCUUCUCCAUUCCUCCCUCUAGUUUCUCCUUGGGCCUGGGCUUAUUUCCACCCAGGGGAGCUGGCCAAGUUCCUUGGUUCCCUGCUUUGCACUCUUGCCUCUGAGCUGUGUUCUUAGCUCUCUGGCUUACUCCCUGCUCCCCACGGGGCAGUAAAACAGCUCUGAGUGUUUGUACAGAGGAAGCUCUCAGAAUGAAAGCCAGCACCCCCGCCCAUACGUGUAUAUAAAAAUAUAAGCCGUGUCUGGAGAGUUUGGUAAAAAAAAAAAAAAAAUUCCAUGCUUAGAUUCAGAUGAGGGUAGCGAGGACCAGGGGCAAAGGGAUUUCAGCCCAGGAUUUCUGAAGCUAAGUGUGGGUUUUUCCCCCGUUCCACUACACGCCGGUUGUCCUCUGAGCUUUUGAUUUGGCUGCUUGGUAGCACCUCUCACUAAAGUAAAACAACUUUCCAACGUGUGGAUUGAAAAUUUUCAGUGCCCUGUGCUGGCUGGUGCGGGGCCCGUUUUGAGAAUUGAAAAUACUCGCGUGCACAUCCUCAGGCCGUAGCAGCUUCCUGACGGGUAAUUCAAGCUUGCUCACAGACUGGAGAGGGAAAUUCUCGAGCCAGCAAGGGGAAGCCUGCCAAAUUGGAAAGACGAGUGGCAGAGAACAGAUUCCAUUCUGGAGCGGAACAAUCACAUUAGCCAGUGCAGAGGAAAACCACGCCAGCAAUCGAAAGGGAUGUGACGCGGGUGUUGGGACCGCCAGCACCAGCCUUGGGGCUCUGGGGACAGUGCUCCACAACACAUGUCACUAACAGGGGGGCCUCCUGGCCUCUGUUGCACCCUGAGUACAGGGAGCAGGUGAAUAGUCAGUGGAAAAGGGCCUGUGUGCAGCCUGCCCUACAAGGGGGUUUAAAAAGCUAAGUGUGGUUAUUGCUGUCCCCAUUCUACAAUUUAAUGUAACUCGUGCCUUCCUUUUUCCUGGGUUUUGCUAAUGCUGGCAGCUCUGGCCAGGCCCUGCCGAAAGAUCUAGCAAUAAAGGACACUUUCCUUGCCAAGACGUUGCAGGACAAACUAAGGACAUGCUGAACUGCCAGUCACUGGGUCUGCACUGGAUUACUGGUGUUCACUGCUAAGGUCCAAACUGUUUGGCACGGCAUGGGAAGGUCGUUCCCCAACUGGCCCCAAAUAACACUCCAGUUUCAACUCCUGCUUCUUCAUUCCAAGAACCUUAUGCUCAAGCAUUCAAUCUUCCAGUGGUCCUUGAAUAUACCGGGCCCAUGAACAUCUUUGUACCUUUGCACAUGCUGUUCCCUUUGUGUGAAAUGUCUCCAUUCUUCCUGGCCACCCAGAAACCCCUAUUAAACCUUCAAAACCUGGCACAAAUUGCACUUCCUUUGUGAACGUGGGCACCAGAACUUCUGUUGACUGACCACCUUUCAAGUGCCAAGGGGUGCCAGGAGCCUAGUAUGCACUGUUCGUAUUUUCUCGAAGCAAUCCUGCCAGGCUGAAGUCAGCUAUUUCCAUUUUUAAAAUAUAAAAAAAAAAGAGGUUCAAAGGACUUCAGGAAUUUGUCCAAAGUCACUCAGUUAGUGAGCGGCAAAGCUUGGAGUCAAUCAGCCAAUCAAUUAAUUAAUCACCAAAUACUGGUUGUACUCCUACUGUAUACAAGGUACUCUGGUUAGAGCAGAGGAAAAGAUGAACAGAAUUCCUGUCCUCAUGUCAUUUACAGUAGAGAAAGAGAAAAGACAAUGUACAAGUACCUGUGUUUCCAAAGAGAGGACUCACAGGCAGCUAUGGAUUUAAAUUCACAGCAUUUGACUCUCUGCUGCCUUUGAAGCUUCCUUGGGCAGAUUUCUUCACUGUCCAUGGGGAUCCCUCUGACGACCACCUGUCAUCCCUCUGGUGAACUCCCAGAGCACCGAGCUUCGCCCUACUCAUCUUUGCAUCCUUAGUGCUUCCCCAGGCCCAGCCCCAAGAAUGUGCUCUUCAAAGGCUAGUGCAGCAUAAAGAUGGGGGGCCAGCGGGAGAGCUGGGUACUGGUGAGAGGAUGAGCGUGCAGCCCCAGGGCUCUAGCAGGCAGAGUUCUCCCCUUACCUGAG